CAGCAGCCGCGGGAAUACGAAGGGGGCUAGCGUUGUUCGGAAUUACUGGGCGUAAAGCGCACGUAGGCGGAUAUUUAAGUCAGGGGUGAAAUCCCAGAGCUCAACUCUGGAACUGCCUUUGAUACUGGGUAUCUUGAGUAUGGAAGAGGUGAGUGGAAUUCCGAGUGUAGAGGUGAAAUUCGUAGAUAUUCGGAGGAACACCAGUGGCGAAGGCGGCUCACUGGUCCAUUACUGACGCUGAGGUGCGAAAGCGUGGGGAGCAAACAGGAUUAGAUACCCCUGUAGUCCCUGUCUCUUAUAC
rnacentral:rRNA from 1 species